AACGAACGCUGGCGGCAGGCUUAACACAUGCAAGUCGAACGGACGUAGCAAUACGUUAGUGGCGCACGGGAGAGUAACACGUGGGAACCUACCUUUUAGUUCGGGAUAACGUCGGGAAACUGACGCUAAUACCGGAUACGCCCCAAGGGGGAAAGAUUUAUCGCUAAAAGAUGGGCCCGCGCUAGAUUAGCUUGUUGGUGAGGUAAUGGCUCACCAAGGCUACGAUCUAUAGCUGGUCUGAGAGGAUGACCAGCCUCACUGGGACUGAGACACGGCCCAGACUCCUACGGGAGGCAGCAGUGGGGAAUAUUGGACAAUGGGGGUAACCCUGAUCCAGCCAUGCCGCGUGAAUGAUGAAGGCCUUCGGGUUGUAAAGUUCUUUUGGAGGGGACGAUGAUGACGGUACCCUCAGAAUAAGCUCCGGCUAACUUCGUGCCAGCCGCCGCCGUAA
rnacentral:rRNA from 1 species